UACGUAGGUGGCAAGCGUUGUCCGGAAUUAUUGGGCGUAAAGCGCGCGCAGGCGGUCCUUUAAGUCUGAUGUGAAAGCCCACGGCUCAACCGUGGAGGGUCAUUGGAAACUGGGGGACUUGAGUGCAGGAGAGAAGAGUGGAAUUCCACGUGUAGCGGUGAAAUGCGUAGAGAUGUGGAGGAACACCAGAGGCGAAGGCGACUCUUUGGCCUGUAACUGACGCUGAGGCGCGAAAGCGUGGGAAGCAAACAGG
rnacentral:rRNA from 1 species